rnacentral:rRNA from 1 species
UACGUAGGGGGCAAGCGUUGUCCGGAUUCAUUGGGCGUAAAGAGCGUGUAGGCGGCCAGGUAGGUCGGUUGUGAAAACUGGAGGCUCAACCUUCAGAGGUCGACCGAAACCAUCUGGCUAGAGUCCGGGAGAGGAGAGUGGAAUUCCUGGUGUAGCGGUGAAAUGCGCAGAUAUCAGGAGGAACACCUGUGGCGAAAGCGGCGCACUGGACCACAACUGACGCUGAGGCGCGAAAGCUAGGGGAGCAAACAGG